GACGAACGCUGGCGGCGUGCUUAACACAUGCAAGUCGAACGAUGAAGCCGGAGCUUGCUCUGGUGAAUUAGUGGCGAACGGGUGAGUAACACGUGAGUAACCUGCCCUUGACUCUGGGAUAACUGCUAGAAAUGGUAGCUAAUACCGGAUACGACCCUCGGAGGCAUCUCCAGGGGGUGGAAAGAAUUUCGGUCAAGGAUGGACUCGCGGCCUAUCAGCUAGUUGGUGAGGUAACGGCUCACCAAGGCGACGACGGGUAGCCGGCCUGAGAGGACGAUCAGCCACACUGGGACUGAGACACGGCCCAGACUCCUACGGGAGGCAGCAGUGGGGAAUUUUGGACAAUGGGCGCAAGCCUGAUGCAGCAACGCCGCGUGAGGGAUGACGGCCUUCGGGUUGUAAACCUCUUUUAGUAGGGAAGAAGCGAAAGUGACGGUACCUGCAGAAAAAGCACCGGCUAACUACGUGCCAGCCGCCGCAGUAA
rnacentral:rRNA from 1 species